rnacentral:rRNA from 1 species
GACGAACGCUGGCGGCGUGCCUAAUACAUGCAAGUCGAACGAGUGGCGGACGGGUGAGUAAUGUCUGGGAAUCUGCCUGAUGGAGGGGGAUAACUACUGGAAACGGUAGCUAAUACCGCAUACCAUCAGAUGUGCCCAGAUGGGAUUAGCUAGUUGGUGGGGUAACGGCUCACCAAGGCGACGAUCCCUAGCUGGUCUGAGAGGAUGACCAGCAACACUGGAACUGGGACACGGUCCAGACUCCUACGGGAGGCAGCAUUGGGGAAUAUUGCACAAUGGGCGCAAGCCUGAUGCAGCCAUGCCGCGUGUAUGAAGAAGGCCUUCGGGUUGUAAAGUACUUUCAGCGGGGAGGCGUUACCCGCAGAAGAAGCACCGGCUAACUCCGUGCCAGCCGCCGCGGUAAUAC